rnacentral:lncRNA from 1 species
GGCGCAAGCCGACCUAUGGCGCCACAGCCUCUACUACCUCACAUCCAUGGCGCUCAAGUGCGCCGUCGAGCUUCACAUCCCAACUGCUAUCCAUAACCUUGGAGGGGCUACCACGCUGCCAAACCUGGUAACCGCACUAUCCCUUCCUCAGACUAAGCUUCCAUUCCUCCGCCGGUUGAUGCGGCUGCUUGUCACAUCAGGCAUCUUUGCAUCUGAAAGAGAUGCAGAGGUGGAGACCUACCGCCGAUCAACCCACUCUCCUGGCUCCUGGUAGAAGGUGUGGAAGCAGAAGACCACACCUACCAGAAAUACUUUGUGCUCGGCACGGUCUCACGGCAUUAUGUUGAGGCUGGAUUGUCUCUCGCUGACUGGUUCAAGAAGGAUUUGCCUGCCUCGAUCACUACCAUCGCCAUUCGAAGAAUUACAUGUUGUGCCACUCGUCCACGAGACUACAAAGCUCCUUGACGAAGAGCUUGACAGAAUUGUCAAUGAAGGUGUGGCUGCACAUGACAAUUUGGCAAUUGGAACCAUUAUUCGAGAGUGCAACGAUCUCUUCAAGGGUGUUCAAUCACUGACUGAUUGCUGUGGUGGUGAUGGCACGACUGUGAGGGCAAUCGUCAAGGCAUUCCCUGACAUCAAGUGCACAGUGCUGGACCUUCCAAAGGUUAUUGAGACUGCACCAGCUCAUGAUUCAGUAAACUAUGUAGCGGGCGACAUGUUCCACUCCAUCCCACCUGCUCAAGCUGUGAUGCUCAAG